rnacentral:lncRNA from 1 species
CUGAGGAAGUGGAGUGUCCCUGGCUGCCUUGCUGAGGCUGGUCUAUGUGCCCCUGGGGCCCUUUAGGCCGGGACGUUUUGACUCCAUUCCUCCUAAAAAGAACCAGCCCAAACCUCCCGGAUUGAAGUCUCCAAUGAUUCAUUCAACAAACUGUGACAGAAACAAUUUGCUUCAGAGAAACCUUGCUCCCUGGAGAAUCUGUCGCUCUGUGUCAUCCUCAGGGACAAGAAAAUUCAAGAACAAACCAGCAUGAAUGUGGGCAAAGAGGUGACAUGGGUGCCUCCCACAGAUCCUACCUCAAACCCUGACAACAUCCUCUGCUGAAGAUCCCACCCUCAGCUCUCAGUCCACCAUGACACUCUCCUACCUUGAAUGUAAACAACACCACGUCAUAGACUGGGGUUCAGAGCUAAUAAAGAGCCCUGGCUCGCACCUCUCUCUCUCUUUCCUGCGCGGCCAGCUGCCUCAAGCUCCUGCCACCAUGGUGGCCUUCAUCCUCCAACUGUGAGCCAAAGAGGUGAGAGAAGCGACUAUACAACCAGUCUCCUGUGAAGAGCUGGGUGGGGCAGAGGACCACAGGAGCUUCCAAAGCCCUGGGCAGAACACAACUGUGCUACACAGUGGCCCGAUGCUCACCGAUGACCUGCUCACUGGCACACGGUGUGUUCCUGGUCCCCUCUUAGAUCUCCUUUCCUGCUCUACUUUCUCUCACGGCCCCAAAGAUGACAUCCUGUGUCCCUGCCCCGAUAG